AGAGUUUGAUCCUGGCUCAGGAUGAACGCUAGCGGCAGGCCUAAUACAUGCAAGUCGAGGGUAGAGUUAGCUUGCUAACUUGAGACCGGCGCACGGGUGCGUAACGCGUAUGCAACCUACCUUUAUCUGGGGGAUAGCCCGAAGAAAUUCGGAUUAACACCGCAUAAAAUCACAGUAUCGCAUGAUACAAUGAUCAAAUAUUUAUAGGAUAAAGAUGGGCAUGCGUGUCAUUAGUUAGUUGGCGGGGUAACGGCCCACCAAGACCACGAUGACUAGGGGAUCUGAGAGGAUGACCCCCCACACUGGUACUGAGACACGGACCAGACUCCUACGGGAGACAGCAGUAAGGAAUAUUGGUCAAUGGAGGCAACUCUGAACCAGCCAUGCCGCGUGCAGGAAGACGGCCCUCUGGGUUGUAAACUGCUUUUAUUCGGGAAUAAACCUAUCUACGUGUAGAUAGCUGAAUGUACCGAAGGAAUAAGGAUCGGCUAACUCCGUG
rnacentral:rRNA from 1 species